CACUAGAAAGCUAAAACUGGGAACAGCAUUAGCCUUUUAAGCUAAAGACUGGUGGCCCCCAACCACCUCUAGUGA
rnacentral:tRNA from 1 species